UAUUGGUCAAUAGCGUAACGGCUGAACCAGCAACUAGGAGGAAUGUAAAACAACUGUAAAAAGUUGUUUUUCGCCCAAAAGGUGGAGUUAACUUAGGUUAAGUAAAGUUCCAAGUAGAGAUUGAUAAUGACAAUUUCUAUUAGUAUGUCUUGACCAAUUCGUGUGCCAGCAGUCGCGGGAAUACACGUAAGACUUGUGUUAUUCAUCUUUAAUAGGUUUAAAGGGUACCUAGACAGUUGAUUUAGCCUUUAAGGUACUAAUACAACUAGAGUUUAAUGUAAGAAGAAGAGUACGGUGAGUGUAGAGAUAAAAUUCAGUGAUACCGCUUAGAAACUGGCAAAUGCGAAGGCAAUCUUCUAUGUAAAAACUGACGUUGAGGGACGAAGGCUCGUUUAAAAUAACAGGAUUAGAUACCCUAGUAUUGUGGGCAGACAAUUAUGAAUGUCAUAUGCAAGAAGUACUUUUUGUGUAUAAAUGAAAGUGUAAGCAUUCCACCUCAAGAGUAAUAUGGCAACAUAUAAACUGAAAUCAUUAGACCGUUUCUGAAACUCGUAGUGAAGUAUGUUGUUUAAUUUGAUAAUCCACAAAAAACCUUACCACAAUUUGAAUAUCUGUGUAUCUAUUAUGCAUUUACAAGCGUUGCACGGCUGUCUUCAGUUAAUGUCGUGAGACUUUGGUUAGAUCCAUUAAAUUAACGUAUAACCCUUACUUUAUUUAAUAUAAAAUAGUUCGCCGCUAUAUUGGUAGUGAUAUAAGGGACCAAGACAAGUCAUCAUGGCCUAAAUAUUGUGGGCUAUAGACGUGCCACAUAAGCCCUAACAAAAAGACGCAAAA
rnacentral:rRNA from 1 species